UGUGGAGAUGUACAUGGUCAGGUAGUCACAUUACAACUGUAUUUUCAAAGUAUUAGAGAAGUUCUUGGUUUUACAUGCACUUGCAGAAUUGGACAUUCAAACUCAGUGUGAUGCUUCUUUAGAUGCUGAGUGCAUUUAUAAACUUCUUGCCUACAUUUUAUAUGUCUGAAUGAACUGCACUUAAUUUGUAAGGAGAAGCUUUGUCCAAAAUUUAUUAAAAUUUUUAUGGUAAGCGUAAAUUAGGGUAACUUGGAUGGCACAUGAGAAUAUAACUUCCAACUACCUGUAGUGUGUUAGG
rnacentral:misc_RNA from 1 species